UACGUAGGGGGCAAGCGUUGUCCGGAAUCAUUGGGCGUGAAGAGCGUGUAGGCGGCCCGAUAAGUCCGGUGUGAAAGUCACAGGCUCAACCUGUGAAUGCCGCUGGAAACUGUCUGGCUAGAGUCCGGAAGGGGCGAGUGGAAUUCCUGGUGUAGCGGUGAAAUGCGCAGAUAUCAGGAGGAACACCGAUGGCGAAGGCAGCUCGCUGGAACGGUACUGACGCUGAGGCGCGAAAGCGUGGGGAGCAAACAGG
rnacentral:rRNA from 1 species